rnacentral:rRNA from 1 species
GACGAACGCUGGCGGCGUGCUUAACACAUGCAAGUCGAACGGAAAGGCCCUGCUUGCAGGGUACUCGAGUGGCGAACGGGUGAGUAACACGUGGGUGAUCUGCCCUGCACUUCGGGAUAAGCCUGGGAAACUGGGUCUAAUACCGGAUAGGAGCCAUUUUGAGUGUGAUGGUUGGAAAGUUUUUUCGGUGUAGGAUGAGCUCGCGGCCUAUCAGCUUGUUGGUGGGGUAAUGGCCUACCAAGGCGGCGACGGGUAGCCGGCCUGAGGGGGUGGACGGCCACAUUGGGACUGAGAUACGGCCCAGACUCCUACGGGAGGCAGCAGUGGGGAAUAUUGCACAAUGGGCGCAAGCCUGAUGCAGCGACGCCGCGUGGGGGAUGACGGCCUUCGGGUUGUAAACUCCUUUCGCUAGGGACGAAGCUUUUUGUGACGGUACCUAGAUAAGAAGCACCGGCUAACUACGUG